rnacentral:autocatalytically_spliced_intron from 1 species
GUACGCCCAGCAUGGGCAUGAACUAAUGAGGUGAAAGUCCUCUGUAGGAAGGUCACCGUUCGAUAACAUGCUGUUAUUAAACGUUAACUACUAGCGAAUGGCAAGGGCUUACCCGUGAGGGGCGGUCUGAAGGAAGCCGCUAGCAAAUUUGCGAGCUGAUGAACAAGAACAUCAUAUGAGGCGUAGGCUGAAGGUGAGUUGGCACAAGACGACGAAACCACGUGAUCUAACGGCCACCGUAAAUGAUGCAGCAGUGCAAAGAAAGUUCAUGUCCUUAUCUGGGGAGAUCUGCUUAGCAUGCGAUCGGUCAUUAACCAGUAAGGCUCUGGUCUACAAGUGUCUUGGCUUUUCAAUUUCAUCAACUGGAAAGAGCGAAUUAGAUGAAAACCGAUAGCGCAUGACGGGGCAACUCGGCAUGUGAUUAAGCAGAAGUCAGCAGACGGCAUAGUAGCCCAACGCCUAUCGUAAUGGAUGGGAUAUGGUGAAGGCCUGAACAUUUAGAAGAAGGAGGAGUCUUGCCAAACUUGUCGGUACUCACUACGUCGUCAGACGAUUACUAUCAACAGCGUAUUAGCCCGCAACCAGCCUUCAACAGCAAUCUAUUUCCGCAACUACUCGAACCUGAGAAUCUACACCGAGCUUGGCGACAAGUGAAAGCCAAUAAAGGCGCGUCGGGUAUCGAUGGCAUGACCAUCGAAGCCUUCCCGCGCUGGAUGCAACAAGGCGGCUGGCAACAGUGUAAAUCUCAGCUUGAGCGAGGAGAAUAUCAACCCUCAGCGGUCAGGCGCGUGGAGAUCGAUAAACCCGAUGGCGGUAAACGCAAAUUGGGGAUCCCCACCGUGAUUGAUCGUGUGAUACAACAAGCAAUCGCUCAGAUACUCACGCCGUUGUUUGACCCCUACUUUUCAGUCAAUAGCUUCGGCUUUAGGCCGAACAGAAACGCCCAGCAGGCGGUACUACAAGUCAGGAAUAUCAUCAAACAGAAGCGCAAAUUUGCCGUUGAUGUUGAUCUGUCCAAGUUCUUUGACCGCGUCAACCACGAUCUGUUGAUGACUCAGUUAAGGAGUAAGGUGCAGGAUAAGCGUCUGCUAGCGCUUAUUGGCAAAUACCUGCGAGCGGGCGUCAUGGUCAACGACCAAUUUGAAGCAAGCUUCGAAGGUGUACCUCAGGGCGGCCCACUCUCACCCUUAUUAUCAAACAUCAUGCUGGAUAGUUUGGAUAAAGAAUUGGAAAGCCGAGGACAUCACUUCGCCCGCUACGCUGAUGACUUUAUCAUCUUGGUGAAGUCUCAACGGGCGGGAGAACGUGUUCUCAAGAGUAUUACUCAUUAUCUUGGUACGAAGCUAAAACUGAUCGUUAACGAGCAUAAAAGCCAAGUAGUUAAGGUAGGUCAAAGCAAGUUCCUUGGCUUCACCUUUAACCGAGGAAAGAUCCAAUGGCAUGCCAACACGUUGCACGUUUUCAAACAAAAGAUACGACGACUGACGAACCGCAAUUGGGGAGUCAGCAUGAGCUAUCAACUGUUUAAACUGCGGCAAUAUAUGCAAGGUUGGAUCAAUUACUUUGGCAUAGCCAACGCUUAUCAAGGUUGCGUCGAUUUAGACCACUGGAUCCGUCGCCGAGUGCGUAUGUGCUACUGGCGUCAGUGGCGAAAACCACGGACUAAGGUGCAGAACCUACUUAAACGAGGUGUCAGGAUCCAAGCUGCCGUUGCUUGUGGACUCACAAGUAAAGGCCCUUGGCGUAGUUCGAAAACGCCAGGCAUACAGCAAGCGCUGAGUAACGAGUACCUAGAGAAAGCUGGAUUGUAUUCACUAAGAGAUGGAUGGAUUGCAGUUCAUUAUCCUAGCCAAAUAACAGGUUAGGAGUUCUAAAUGAACCGCCCUGUGCGGAGCCGCAUGCAGGGUGGUGUGGGGGCUGGAGGCUAGAUACCUCCGGCUACCCGAU